rnacentral:rRNA from 1 species
CGUGGGUAACCUGCCUGGUAGCGGGGGAUAACUAUUGGAAACGAUAGCUAAUACCGCAUAACAGUCGACAUUGCAUGAUGUUGAUUUGAAAGGGGGCAAUUGCUCCACUACCAGAUGGACCUGCGUUGUAUUAGCUAGUUGGUGAGGUAACGGCUCACCAAGGCGACGAUACAUAGCCGACCUGAGAGGGUGAUCGGCCACACUGGGACUGAGACACGGCCCAG